UACGUAGGGUGCAAGCGUUGUCCGGAUUUACUGGGCGUAAAGGGCGUGCAGGCGGCCUAGCAAGUUCUGUGUGAAAGCCCCCGGCCAAACCGGGGAGGGUCACGGAAGACUGCUAAGCUAGAGGGCAGCAGAGGAUAGUGGAAUUCCCGGUGUAGUGGUAAAAUGCGUAGAGAUCGGGAGGAACACCAGUGGCGAAAGCGGCUAUCUGGGCUGCAACUGACGCUGAGGCGCGAAGGCUAGGGUAG
rnacentral:rRNA from 1 species